rnacentral:rRNA from 1 species
GACGAUAUGCUUUGGGGAGCUGUAAGUAAGCUUUGAUCCAGAGAUUUCCGAAUGGGGAAACCCAGCAUGAGUUAUGUCAUGUUAUCGAUAUGUGAAUACAUAGCAUAUCAGAAGGCACACCCGGAGAACUGAAACAUCUUAGUACCCGGAGGAAGAGAAAGAAAAUUCGAUUCCCUUAGUAGCGGCGAGCGAAACGGGAAGAGCCCAAACCAACAAGCUUGCUUGUUGGGGUUGUAGGACACUCUAUACGGAGUUACAAAGGACGACAUUAGACGAAUCAUCUGGAAAGAUGAAUCAAAGAAGGUAAUAAUCCUGUAGUCGAAAAUGUUGUCUCUCUUGAGUGGAUCCUGAGUACGACGGAGCACGUGAAAUUCCGUCGGAAUCUGGGAGGACCAUCUCCUAAGGCUAA